GGUGGCCACGGGGAAGCGGGGCAGCCUCACCCCCGGCUGACCCGGGUGAAUCAUGCCGCUUCCAGCUGCCUCCUAAAGGACAGAAGGCAAAUGCCGCGCGCUUUGUUCGGCUCCCCGGGUCUCAACAGGCCGGCGAGCGAGGAGCGGAGGUGGGGCCCGCGGGCGGCUGCACGUUCCGCCCUCUCCCGCCCCGCGCCCGUGCGCUCCGGGCCGCUGCCUACCUACAGCCCUGCCCCGCCCCACCAUUGUCUGCCCGGCGCUGUGCGAAACGUGCGCGCUGCCUGCUUCUGGCCAGUCCCGGGCUUCCCUUCCGGCCAGGCUGCGAGGACUGAAAGCAGCAAUACAACAACAACAACAACAAAUCAAAACUGGAUAAUUUUGUGGCAAUACUUGUACUUGUGAGAUUUCUAUCCUGAUUUCUAGACCAAAGAAUAUCAGAUAAUCUUUGGUGCUCAAAUGAGAGCUGAAAUCACCUGAGAUGGAGCAGUGUUUCUGUCCAGACUGCAAAGAGCUGAAAAACACUAAGAGACUGAUGUGCAGAGGUCACAGCAGAGAGACAGGUAGCAGCAGAAGGAGAUGACAGUCAGCCAGCAAAGGAGUGGCUGGCGAGGCGGUAAGCAGAACGAGCGGCUGGCAAGGCAAUGAGCGGCUGGCGGGGCAGCCAGCGGAGACGAACCAUGGCUGGUGGGACAGCCAGCAGAGAUGAACCGCGGCUGGCGGAGUAGCCAGGUGAUGAGGAACAGCGGCUGGCGGGACAGCCAGCCAGAGCAAGCACAAGCAAGGUGCCUCCUUCCCUGGGUGGGAGGCGAACUGAAUAGAUGCACCUCUGAACCCUGGGUCCUCACUGACCAAGGACAACCACUGUGAGUGGGGUAUGGUGAGGGAACAGAGUGUGGCACAGAAAAAGAACUUUUGGUUGUAGAACUCAAGAACAUGAGGCAGAAGACACUGCCCCACGCACUCUGGGGUGGAUGUCCUGCUCACAG